CCUACGGGUGGCAGCAGUGGGGAAUAUUGCACAAUGGGGGAAACCCUGAUGCAGCAACGCCGCGUGCGUGAAGAAGUAUUUCGGUAUGUAAAGCUCUAUCAGCAGGGAAGAAGAUGACGGUACCUGAGUGAGAAGCCCCGGCUAAAUACGUGCCAGCAGCCGCGGUAUUACGUUGGGGGGGAGCGUGAUCCGGAUAUUCUGGGGGUAAAGGGAGCGCAGACGGUGAGACAAGUCUGAAGUGAAAGCCCGGGGCUCAAACCCGGGACUGCUUUGGAAACUGGCCGACUGGAGUGCUGGAGAGGCAAGCGGAAUUCCUAGUGUAGCGGUGAAAUGCGUAGAUAUUAGGAAGAACACCAGAGGCGAAGGCGGCUUGCUGGACAGUAACUGACGUUGAGGCUCGAAAGCGUGGGGAGCAAACAGGAUUAGAUACCCCAGUAGUC
rnacentral:rRNA from 1 species